rnacentral:rRNA from 1 species
CCAAUGUGAACGUUACCAAACUGUUGCCUCGGCGGGAUCUCUGCCCCGGGUGCGUCGCAGCCCCGGACCAAGGCGCCCGCCGGAGGACCAACCAAAACUCUUAUUGUAUACCCCCUCGCGGGUUUUUUUUAUAAUCUGAGCCUUCUCGGCGCCUCUCGUAGGCGUUUCGAAAAUGAAUCAAAACUUUCAACAACGGAUCUCUUGGUUCUGGCAUCGAUGAAGAACGCAGCGAAAUGCGAUAAGUAAUGUGAAUUGCAGAAUUCAGUGAAUCAUCGAAUCUUUGAACGCACAUUGCGCCCGCCAGUAUUCUGGCGGGCAUGCCUGUCCGAGCGUCAUUUCAACCCUCGAACCCCUCCGGGGGGUCGGCGUUGGGGAUCGGCCCUCCCUUAGCGGGUGGCCGUCUCCGAAAUACAGUGGCGGUCUCGCCGCAGCCUCUCCUGCGCAGUAGUUUGCACACUCGCAUCGGGAGCGCGGCGCGUCCAC